GUAAGAAACCUCAUGGCAUUUGUCAAAGAACAGACAAAAGAAAAUGUCAAAUUGUGCUGAUAUCAUUAUAACAAAAUAGCUACUACACCUGUGUGGGUUCAUCCCUAGCACACCACACCGAGAGCUGAAACAUGUAGGUCUUGCUUGGAUUAAGGGCCUUCCAUUUAUUGAGAUCUUGAUUAGAUUAAAGGCCUUCAAUUUAUUGACUUCUUGCUUGGAUGGAAG